CGCGGCUGAACCUCUCUGCGCACGGAAUAGCCAGUUAGUUAUAGACAAUAGACAUCAUUUUAGUUAAAGGACGCAACUCAUACAUGUCGCGAGAAAACCGCGGAUGCAACUCGGAUGUGUUGUACAAGAAUCGCGGACGCAACUCGGAUAUCACCAUGUAUAUUUUUGUAUUUUGGGACGCAAUUCGUGUGCAGCCCUAGUCCCAAUACAAACACUGCUACAGCAUAGAAUUAAUGAAUUAAAACGUAGUACAUGUGAAUAGUAAAUAUGUUAUAAAUACCAGCAUAGUGGCUUGUUAAAGAAUGCUGAGCGAAAAUCAGAAUUUAUCAUUUUACUACCAUCGGUACUAUUAUAAUCUUCAUCAAAUUGUUUAAUUGUAGAAGUACUAAGUAAUACACAAUACACAUAUCUGAACAAUUUUU